rnacentral:rRNA from 1 species
GACGAACGCUGGCGGCGUGCUUAACACAUGCAAGUCGAACGAUGAAGCCUAGCUUGCUAGGUGGAUUAGUGGCGAACGGGUGAGUAAUACGUGAGUAACCUACCUUUAACUCUGGGAUAAGCCUGGGAAACUGGGUCUAAUACCGGAUACGACCAAUCUCCGCAUGGGGUGUUGGUGGAAAGCGUUAUGUAGUGGUUAUAGAUGGGCUCACGGCCUAUCAGCUUGUUGGUGAGGUAACGGCUCACCAAGGCGACGACGGGUAACCGGCCUGAGAGGGUGACCGGCCACACUGGGACUGAGACACGGCCCAGACUCCUACGGGAGGCAGCAGUGGGGAAUAUUGCACAAUGGGCGCAAGCCUGAUGCAGCGACGCCGCGUGAGGGAUGACGGCCUUCGGGUUGUAAACCUCUGUUAGCAGGGAAGAAGAGAAAUUGACGGUACCUGCAGAGAAAGCGCCGGCUAACUACGUG